UCCGAUAUGGUCUAGUGGCUAGGAUUUCUCGCUUUCAUGUCCUUCGUGACCCAAGAGCCGAGGAGGCCGGGGUUCGAUGUAAGCAUUUGACGACGGUCCUUCCUACCAUUGCUCAAAGCUAAUGAAAUUCAGUCCCCGUAUCGGAA